rnacentral:rRNA from 1 species
AUGAACGCUGGCGGCGUGCUUAACACAUGCAAGUCGAACGGGGAACAAAUUAUUGAAGCUUCGGCAGAUCUAGCUUGUUCCUAGUGGCGGACGGGUGAGUAACGCGUGGGUAACCUGCCUCACACUGGGGGAUAACAGUCAGAAAUGGCUGCUAAUACCGCAUAAGCGCACAGUACCGCAUGGUACAGUGUGAAAAACUCCGGUGGUGUGAGAUGGACCCGCGUUGGAUUAGCUAGUUGGCAGGGCAGCGGCCUACCAAGGCGACGAUCCAUAGCCGGCCUGAGAGGGUGAACGGCCACAUUGGGACUGAGACACGGCCCAGACUCCUACGGGAGGCAGCAGUGGGGAAUAUUGCACAAUGGGGGAAACCCUGAUGCAGCGACGCCGCGUGAAGGAAGAAGUAUCUCGGUAUGUAAACUUCUAUCAGCAGGGAAGAA